rnacentral:rRNA from 1 species
CAUGCAGUCGAACGGUAGAUUACUUUCGGGUAAUUGAGANUGGCGCACGGGUGCGUAACGCGUAUGCAACCUACCCUAUACAGGGGGAUAGCCCGGAGAAAUCUGGAUUAAUACCCCAUAGCACUAUGUUGAGGCAUUUCGAUAUAGUUAAAGAUUCAUCGGUAUAGGAUGGGCAUGCGUCUGAUUAGCUAGUUGGCGGUGUAACGGACCACCAAGGCGACGAUCAGUAGGGGUUCUGAGAGGAAGGUCCCCCACACUGGCACUGAGAUACGGGCCAGACUCCUACGGGAGGCAGCAGUAGGGAAUAUUGGGCAAUGGACGAGAGUCUGACCCAGCCAUGCCGCGUGCAGGAAGACGGCGUUCUGCGUUGUAAACUGCUUUUAUCUGGGAAGAAAAGGCCCAUGCGUGGGACAUUGCCGGUACCAGAUGAAUAAGCACCGGCUAACUCCGUGCCAGCAGCCGCGGUAAUACGGAGGGUGCAAGCGUUGUCCGGAUUUAUUGGG